GGAGCGGUCCUCCAUGUGUUGAGUUGAUGAUGGAGAUGAAGGAGGUUCGGUCAGCACCACCAUCAGACUAUCAGGAACUGCAAUUGAACAGGGACCCAGACACUGUUGUGACCAUCGUCAACCCUGGAGCAUCCCAGAGACUAUGUGGUAUGGUCCAUCUGCAGCUUCUUCCACGCAAACCCCUUUUGCCUCGGACUGUUGGCGCUGAUCUUCUCAUUCAAGGCAAGAGACAUGAAGGUGACUGGAGACCUGCAGAGAGCCAGGGAAUACAGCAAGUGUGCUCUGGGCCUCAACGUGGCUGCGCUGAUCAUUAUUAUUUUGACUAUCUUGAGUCUUGUAAUUGUUUUGAUGAUAGUACCCGUUAUAGCCCAUUGGAGUCAGUUGUUGUCAGUCCUGCCAUAACUCAAACCUGAAAAAAAAAGUUUCAAAGGCUUGUAGUCUGGGUUUGAAAACUCAACACCUUGUAAAAAAGGUUUUGCA